GACAAAGCAGGAAAGAACAUCCAAUGGAAAAAAGACAGCCCCUUUAACAAAUGGUGCUGGGAGAACUGGACAGCAACAUGCAGAAGAAUGAAACUAGACCACUUUCUUACAUCAUACACACAAAUAAACUCAAAAUGGAUAAAAGAUCUAAAUGUGAGACAGGAAACCAUCAAAACUCUAGA